rnacentral:rRNA from 1 species
GUAGGGGGCGAGCGUUGUCCGGAAUUACUGGGCGUAAAGGGCGUGUAGGCGGCCUGUUAAGUCAGGGGUGAAAGACCGGGGCUCAACCCCGGGGGUGCCUCUGAAACUGGCGGGCUUGAGUGCUCUAGAGGGCAGUGGAAUUCCCGGUGUAGCAGUGAAAUGCGUAGAGAUCGGGAGGAACACCAGUGGCGAAGGCGGCUGCCUGGGGAGUCACUGACGCUGAGGCGCGAAAGCUAGGGGAGCAAACAGGAUUAGAUACCCUGGUAGUCCUAGCCGUAAACGAUGAGCGCUAUGUGUGAGGGGUAUCGACCCCCCUCGUGCAGUAGCUAACGCAUUAAGCGCUCCGCCUGGGGAGUACGGCCGCAAGGUUG